UUGAACGCUGGCGGCAUGCUUUACACAUGCAAGUCGCACGGUAACAGGUCUUCGGAUGCUGACGAGUGGCGAACGGGUGAGUAAUACAUCGGAACGUGCCUAGUAGUGGGGGAUAACUACUCGAAAGAGUAGCUAAUACCGCAUGAGAUCUACGGAUGAAAGCAGGGGACCUUCGGGCCUUGUGCUACUAGAGCGGCUGAUGGCAGAUUAGGUAGUUGGUGGGGUAAAGGCUUACCAAGCCUGCGAUCUGUAGCUGGUCUGAGAGGACGACCAGCCACACUGGGACUGAGACACGGCCCAGACUCCUACGGGAGGCAGCAGUGGGGAAUUUUGGACAAUGGGCGAAAGCCUGAUCCAGCAAUGCCGCGUGCAGGAUGAAGGCCCUCGGGUUGUAAACUGCUUUUGUACGGAACGAAAAGCCUGGGGCUAAUAUCCCCGGGUCAUGACGGUACCGUAAGAAUAAGCACCGGCUAACUACGUG
rnacentral:rRNA from 1 species